AUUGAACGCUAGCGGCAUGCUUAACACAUGCAAGUCGAACGCGAGUAGGGGGCAACUCCUACUUGAGUGGCGGACGGGUGAGUAACGCGUAGGAAGCUACCUUUUAGUGGGGGACAACUCGGGGAAACUCGAGCUAAUACCGCAUAAUCUCUACGGAGCAAAGUGGGGGAGCGUAAGACAUCACGCUAUAAGAUGAGCCUGCGUCGGAUUAGCUUGUUGGUGGGGUAAUGGCCUACCAAGGCGACGAUCCGUAGCUGGUCGGAGAGGACGACCAGCCACGCUGGGACUGAGACACGGCCCAGACUCCUACGGGAGGCAGCCGUGGGGAAUAUUGGACAAUGGGGGAAACCCUGAUACAGCAAUGCCGCGUGUGUGAAGAAGGCCUUCGGGUUGUAAAGCACUUUCAAUAGGGAAGAACAAGUUUACGAAUAAUACUCGUGAGCCUAGACGUUACCUAUAGAAGAAGCACUGGCUAACUUCGUGCCAGCCGCCGCGGUAACAC
rnacentral:rRNA from 1 species